UACGUAGGGUGCGAGCGUUGCCCGGAUUUAUUGGGCGUAAAGGGCGCGUAGGCGGGCCAUCAAGUCAGGGGUGAAAGCCCCCAGCUCAACUGGGGAAGUGCCUCUGAUACUGGUGGCCUCGAGGGAGGUAGGGGCGUGCGGAACUUCCGGUGGAGCGGUGAAAUGCGUAGAUAUUCGCAAGAACACCAGUGGCGAAGGCGGCUCACUGGCCCGAUACUGACGCUGAGGCACGAAAGCGUGGGGAGCAAACAGG
rnacentral:rRNA from 1 species